AACGAACGCUGGCGGCAGGCCUAACACAUGCAAGUCGAGCGAACCGCAAGGUUAGCGGCGGACGGGUGAGUAACGCGUGGGAACGUGCCCUUUGCUACGGAAUAGCCCUGGGAAACUGGGAGUAAUACCGUAUGUGCCCUUUGGGGGAAAGAUUUAUCGGCAAAGGAUCGGCCCGCGUUGGAUUAGGGAGUCGGUGGGGUAAUGGCCUACCAAGCCGACGAUCCAUAGCUGGUUUGAGAGGAUGAUCAGCCACACUGGGACUGGGACACGGCCCAGACUCCUACGGGAGGCAGCAGUGGGGAAGCUUAGACAAUGGGGGAAACCCUGAUCUAGCCAUGCCGCGUGAGCGAUGAAGGCCUUAGGGUUGUAAAGCUCUUUCAGUGGGGAAGAUAACGACGGUACCCACAGAAGAAGCCCCGGCUAACUCCGUGCCAGCCGCCGCGGUAA
rnacentral:rRNA from 1 species